rnacentral:lncRNA from 1 species
CACAGAGCAGCCUCUGUUUGACUCCUCAGCUCCUGUUUAACCACUUCCCUCCAAACAGCAGCACAGGCAGUGACAAGCCAUUUGAUCCAGUGGUGCUGAGAGUCUUCAUGCAGAGAUCCUCCACCAUGUGUAUGUUGAGGAGCUGCCCAGGCCAGACAAGCAGAUGUUCUACAGAGUUUGGAUCCUGACAGCCCAUUCUCCAACCAUUUCUGACAGCUAAAUAAUCACUCAGUGCCAAAGCAGCACAUUUAACUUAAGG